rnacentral:misc_RNA from 1 species
UGGGGAGAUAAAAACGGCCGCCGGCGGCCACUUCUGCGUCGAGCUGCAUCGCCGUCAAGGUUUCGGGACUGCUUGCGGUAUGCGGACGGAUCAUGUCGGCCUGCCACGACUACUGGAGUUGGAGGCGGCGGGUGGUACGGGAUGGCUGCUGCUGCUGCCGCCGCCGCCGCCCCCGAGCUUCCGGCUGAUGCUGUGGAUCGCCGGGUUGGAGCGCAGGUAGCCGAAGAGGCUGUUGCGGUGGAACGGCAGCGGCGUGGUGGCCGUCGUCCGGCGCCGCGCGUCCUCGGCCGCCGCCGCCCCCCGGGGCACGGCGUACGGCAUCGGCAUGUCGCUGGCCGACGCCGCGGAGCCUCUCCCCUUGCGCAUGGACGCGCUGCCGUCGCCGCCGGUCCGCAGCGUCUGCUGGGACGACGACGACAGCAUGGUGUACUUGAACAGCGGGUCCUUGCUGCCGCCGCCGGUGGUGGCGCGGCCCUCCGACGCGCUGCGGAACAGGAACAGGUCCUUGAGCCGCCACUUCUUGCUGCCGCUGCCGCAGCCCCGCAUCAUGGAGGUUCGGGGAGACGGAGGGGACUCCUCGUCGUCGUCCACGCCUCCUCCUCCGCCGCCGCCGCCCCUGACCCUGAACGGGGACAGAGACCUCGUGGCCCUCCUACUCCUCGACGAGGCCGCCGCCGCCGCCGCCGCCGUCGAGGCGGCGGGUCUGUAGCCCGACCUGCCUCUCUCCAACGGUGCCUCCGCCCGACGAUCCGCGCCGCCGGCUCUUCUCGGGGACCACCGAGGGCCACCGGAAUAGGAGGAGCUCGAGGCGUCGUCGGCCAGCGGGAUGCUCGGGUGCGGCGUGUUCAGCGGCCGGAUCCUGCCGCCCUCGAAGAGCUCGUCGGCGGCCGCGAGGGUCGGCGUGGCCUCCUGCAGCUGCCCGCUGAAGCCGAGCGUGAAGUCGAACGUGGCCUCGUCGCCCGAGCCCGGCGUCGUGGUCGUGGCGGUGGCGGCGCCCCCCGCGCAGCUCGCCCUGGACGGGCUCGUCGGCGCGCUGGAGUAGAAGUAGCAGUAGGCCGGGAGGUGGUCGCCGGCGAUGGCCGCGGUUCUUGGGCUGCACGGCGCACUUGGCGCCAUGACAGGCACCACCACCUCCAUCUCGAAUCCUCCUCGUUCGCUUCUGGCUCUCUCUCUCUCUUUACCACCUCCUAUCCUAUGUCGUCUUUGCUUGCUUGCUUGCUCCUUUAAAAGGCCUUGGGAUUUCGUUUUUGUAGAGUCAAGUUUUUGGCUGGGAGUACUAUACUGGUAGAGAGAGAGAAAGGUAUUCCUCAUACUCCAACCGAGGAAGGCAGAAGGAAGCUCGAGAGAGAGAUAGAGAGAUGGAGACGUUAAAAGCCGUCUCCAAUUAAGACAUCAACCAUGCAUGUGGUCGUAUACACAACUUGGUUUAGUUUAAUACUAAUAAUAUAAAGCAC